rnacentral:rRNA from 1 species
AGCGAACGCUGGCGGCAGGCCUAACACAUGCAAGUCGAACGAACCCUUCGGGGUUAGUGGCGGACGGGUGAGUAACACGUGGGAACGUGCCUUUAGGUUCGGAAUAACUCAGGGAAACUUGUGCUAAUACCGAAUGUGCCCUUCGGGGGAAAGAUUUAUCGCCUUUAGAGCGGCCCGCGUCUGGUUAGCUAGUUGGUGAGGUAAUGGCUCACCAAGGCUACGAUCAGUAGCUGGUCUGAGAGGAUGACCAGCCACAUUGGGACUGGGACACGGCCCAAACUCCUACGGGAGGCAGCAGUGGGGAAUCUUGCGCAAUGGGCGAAAGCCUGACGCAGCCAUGCCGCGUGGAUGAUGAGGGUCUUAGGAUUGUAAAAUCCUUUCACCGGUGAAGAUAAUGACUGUAGCCGGAGAAGAAGCCCCGGCUAACUUCGUGCCAGCAGCCGCCGUAAAAC